CAGUGGUUUGCAAUUAGCCAGCCCAGUCAGAGGCAGCUGGGAAGGGAGGACUGAGCACCUCCACAAGUGAGGUGCCUUCAGCUAAGGGCUGGAGCAGGUGGAUGGAGGGAAGGCUCUUCUGCUCUUCCUUUUGGGGUAUCGGAGCUCCAUUUCUGCUGUAAGCAACAUGUCUGAGUAGUAUAGUUGGACAGGUGGAGCAGCACCAUCGUGUUUGAUUUCCUUGGAAGCCCUGUGCUACAGGACAAGAGCUGUCAGGUUGUACAAGCACUGGUGGUCAUAGGAGAGACAGCUUCGUCACCCAUCCUUCCAGUGGCAGAGAUGCAUGUGAUGGCUGGAAGAAAAGAGGUUAAUCAGAUAAAUACGUUACUUCUGGAAACAAAGCAUGCAUCCAAUGUCUUCUGUUACUUAUUACUUGUUUUACCAUCCAUUCACAGAGUGUGUAUUUUGUGUAUUUGAAUCUAUUAAGUAUCAUUUGUUUUUCUUAAAGUGUUUUUUUUUUUUGUUCUUUUAAUAUCAAAUUUGUGAGGGGAAGCCCUUUAAAAAGGAAGAGGUGACUCUCCUUUCUGGACUUUAAAGCAUUAGCUGCCUUUCUAAACUCCCUAGACAAUUGCCUUGUAUUGCUGGUGUUCUGAUGCUGCUCUGGGUGAUGAAUAACUAAGCACCUAUGGCUGUCACCCUCCUUUCUAUGAAAGUCUCAUAAUAUCUCUCAGAAACUGUUAUUAUCUUCAAAAGGUGUAAAUGAGCACUUGGCUACUGUGACAUAUGGGGUGGGACUGAUGAAGCAGACUUCCAGCAGUGCAGAUACAGUUGCAUUUUCUUUCUGAAUAGAAUCCCAGGUCUGAUUAGCAGGAAGCACUGGUGAAUUAGAAAGACCUCAUCCACAAUAGAACAACCAGAAUGUGAUCUCUGAGGCUUAUGUCAGCAUGGGUAGUUCAGAAACAGCAAGGUUCUCAAGGCUCUAGAAGGGCACAGAAAAUAUUCAGAACAACAACAGAACAACAACAACAGCUCAACAGAUCGGUGUGGACUUUAAGGAAAUAGGACUCGGCUGAACAGUAGAAAAGGAAGGACAGUGGACAAACUGGGAAAGCACAAGUCAACAAGCAUGAUCACUUCAACUUGUUCAAUUAGCAAAGCAAAAAGACUCUCCUACUGUCCAGAAGAGCUGAUCCUGUCUUAUCCUGUGAAGAAGCACGUGCUUCUGUUGAGAAAUUAUGGUUA